rnacentral:rRNA from 1 species
AACGCGAAGAACCUUACCUGGGCUCGAAAUGUAGAGGACGAUAGCAGAAAUGUUAUCUCUCGAAAGGGUCUUUACAUAGGUGCUGCAUGGCUGUCGUCAGCUCGUGCCGUGAGGUGUUUGGUUAAGUCCAGCAACGAGCGCAACCCUUAUCGUUAGUUGCCAGCGCGUAAUGGCGGGAACUCUAACGAGACUGCCUGGGUUAACCAGGAGGAAGGUGAGGAUGACGUCAAGUCCGCAUGGCCUUUAUGUCCAGGGCAACACACGUGCUACAAUGGUCGGCACAGAAGGCUGCAAAACCGUGAGGUGAAGCAAAUCCUAUAAAGCCGAUCUCAGUUCAGAUUGUAGUCUGCAACUCGACUACAUGAAGUUGGAAUUGCUAGUAAUGGCGUGUCAGCUACAACGCCGUGAAUACGUUCCCGGGCCUUGUA